AUGGAAUUUGAGCUAUUUCAAAUCCUGAAAGAUGAUGCUGUGAAAGUGCUGCACUCAAUAUGCCAGUGGCCACACUGGAAAACUCAGCAGUGGCCACAGGACUGGAAAAGGUCAGUUUUCAUUCCAAUCCCAAAGAAAGGCAAUGCCAAAGAAUGCUCAAACUACCACACAGUUGCACUCAUCUCACAGGCUAGUAAAGUAAUGCUCAAAAUUCUCCAAGCCAGGCUUCAGCAAUACAUGAAUCGUGAACUUCCUGAUGUUCAAGCUGGUUUUAGAAAAGGCAAAGGAAACAGAAAUCAAAUUGCCAACAUCUUCUGGAUCAUGGAAAAAGCAAGAGAGUUCCAGAAAAACAUCUAUUUCUGCUUUCUUGACUAUGCCAAAGCCUUUGACUGUGUGGAUCACAAUAAACUGUGGAAAAUUCUGAAAGAGAUGGGAAUACCAGACCAUCUGACCUGCCUCUUGAGAAACCUGUAUGCAGGUCAGGAAGUAACAGUUAGAACUGGACAUGGAACAAAAGACUGGUUCCAUAUAGGAAAAGGAGUCCAUCAAGACUGUAUAUUGUCACCUUGCUUAUUUAACUUCUAUGCAGACUACAUCAUGAGAAACGCUGGACUGGAAGAAACACAAGCUGGAAUCAAGAUUGCCGGGAGAAAUAUCAAUAACCUCAGAUAUGCAGAUGACACCACCCUUAUGGCAGAAAGUGAAGAGGAGCUAAAAAGCCUCUUGAUGAAAGUGAAAGAGGAGAGUGAAAAAGUUGGCCUAAAGCUCAACAUUCAGAAAACGAAGAUCAUGGCAUCUGGUCCCAUCACUUCAUGGGAAAUAGAUGGGGAAACAGUGGAAACAGUGUCAGACUUUAUCUUUUUGGGCUCCAAAAUCACUGCAGAUGGUGACUGCAGCCAUGAAAUUAAAAGACACUUACUCCUUGGAAGAAAAGUUAUGACCAACCUAGAUAGUAUAUUCAAAAGCAGAGAUAUUACUUUACCGACUAAGGUCCGUCUAGUCAAGGCUAUGGUUUUUCCUAUGGUCAUGUAUGGAUGUGAGAGUUGGACUGUGAAGAAGGCUGAGCACCAAAGAAUUGAUGCGUUUGAACUGUGGUGUUGGAGAAGACUCUUGAGAAUCCCUUGGACUGCAAGGAGAUCCAACCAGUCCAUUCUGAAGGAGAUCAGCCCUGGGAUUUCUUUGGAAGGAAUGAUGCUAAAGCUGAAACUGCAGUACUUUGGCCACCUCAUGCGAAGAGUUGACUCAUUGGAAAAGACUCUGAUGCUGGGAAGGAUUGGGGGCAGGAAGAGAAGGGGACGACAGAGGAUGAGAUGGCUGGAUGGCAUCUCUGACUCGAUGGACGUGAGUCUGAAUGAACUGCGGGAGAUGGUGAUGGACAGGGAGGCCUGGCGUGCUGCGAUUCAUGGGGUCGCAAAGAGUCGGACAUAA
rnacentral:lncRNA from 1 species